AACGUGCAGCCUCCAGGUGUUUCU
rnacentral:miRNA from 1 species